UCUCUUUCUCUUUCCGUCUCCUUUCCCGAUCUCGUCCUCCCGACGUGAAUCACGUACUUCAAGUUUAAUCCUAAGAUUUCCAAACGCCUACAGAUAUCCAUCCGAGAGAGGACGAUGGAGAAAAACACGACAUGAGAAAUCAGCUCGGCCUGACGGAGACGGAAAUGGAAGAGAGAAAAGAACAGCAAGCUUGUUUACCAAUAAUAAAGUUCAAGCCGGCGCAAAGGAAGACGAAGUAUCUUUUCUCGCGGAUAGAAACUCCAGAAACUCCAGAAAUGCGAACUCUCCAAUAUAUACACACACACACACAUGUAUAAGACAUAUGGAAGGAUUGCAACCAGGGUGAAUGAGGUGAAUGAAGCGGAGAUACAAACGCAGACCAUUUUCAAAGCUCGUGACGUUUCUUAAGGAGACGGCAGGCCAUCCAUCAUCUCUCUCGGAGACGCCGUUGCAUCAAUUUCGAUUAGGAAGACGUGCGAGAGCGAAGGGACGAACGCGAGUCGAAUAUACGUAAGCGAAGAGAAAAGAUUUUUCGACCAAAAGUCGGAGGAAAUCAGAGGGAAGACAGAUGCGUCAUUGUAGAAGGGCUUGUUUAAACUGAGAAGAAAUUUGAAGUCAAGGAUUAAAUCUGAAUUACGAGCUAACUGAGGAUAUCGAUUUCAUCAACGGAGCGAAUGAGGAGGAGUCAUCAUGGCCUCUACUAAAUAACAACAGCCGGCGCAUAAUGUUAUCGAUAUCAUUAAUAUUUAUCGGAGCGAUUUUAUUAUAAACCCCAUUUCGUCUAAACGUCUGUGCUCCGGAAGGCGGAUAUCGCCUCCGUUAUCCGAGCACGAGACUUUGCUGAGAAAGCGAUAUAAAAUUUUACUGGUUUACCAUUAUAAUGAAAGCCAGAGAUGAGAUACCUCGAGGACUUGGACGAUAAACGUAAAAUUACAACGUUGCACAUAAUCGUUUAACAUAAUGUAUAUGGUUUGAAUGUGAUUAAUUAACGCGAAGGAUUUUGACAUAAUUUA